GAGUUUGAUCCUGGCUCAGAUUGAACGCUGGCGGAAUGCUUUACACAUGCAAGUCGAGCGGCAGCGCGGGGCAACCUGGCGGCGAGCGGCGAACGGGUGAGUAAUGCAUCGGAACAUGUCCUGUCGUGGGGGAUAGCCCGGCGAAAGCCGGAUUAAUACCGCAUACGUCCGAGAGGAGAAAGUGGGGGACCGAAAGGCCUCACGCGAUUGGGUUGGCCGAUGUCCGAUUAGCUAGUUGGUGGGGUAAAGGCUCACCAAGGCGAUGAUCGGUAGCUGGUCUGAGAGGAUGAUCAGCCACACUGGGACUGAGACACGGCCCAGACUCCUACGGGAGGCAGCAGUGGGGAAUUUUGGACAAUGGGGGCAACCCUGAUCCAGCCAUUCCGCGUGAGUGAAGAAGGCC
rnacentral:rRNA from 1 species